GAGAGUUGAACUUUUCACAUCAUAUUGCAAAUAGUCUUAGGGAUGUAUACUUCUGUAGUAUUUCUAUUCGUAUUUUUUAUUGGAUGUUCCGAAUCUUCAUCAUCUUCAAAUCCCGGAAUCUUCAAUGAAGACUAUAUGGAUCCAAAGACUGUGGAUCACAAAACGCUAUCUGGACGGUGGUAUGAACAUUUGAACACAGUGAAUAACACCAUCAGUGACAAUUCUUUUGGAGACGUGGUGGUUUUAUGUGAUGAAACAAUAAGUCUAGUGGAGGUCAUUUACCGUUGGAUUCCGUCUCUGGAAGAGUGUCGAACCACAGCGGUAAGAUUUCAACCCGAUACGGCCCAUUCACCUGGAGCAGCAGUCAUCCGGAUGUCCA